rnacentral:rRNA from 1 species
AUUGAACGCUGGCGGCAGGCCUAACACAUGCAAGUCGAGCGGAUGAAGGGAGCUUGCUCUCUGAUUCAGCGGCGGACGGGUGAGUAAUGCCUAGGAAUCUGCCUGAUAGUGGGGGACAACGUUUCGAAAGGAACGCUAAUACCGCAUACGCCCUACGGGAGAAAGCAGGGGACCUUCGGGCCUUGCGCUAUCAGAUGAGCCUAGGUCGGAUUAGCUAGUUGGUGAGGUAAUGGCUCACCAAGGCGACGAUCCGUAACUGGUCUGAGAGGAUGAUCAGUCACACUGGAACUGAGACACGGUCCAGACUCCUACGGGAGGCAGCAGUGGGGAAUAUUGGACAAUGGGCGAAAGCCUGAUCCAGCCAUGCCGCGUGUGUGAAGAAGGUCUUCGGAUUGUAAAGCACUUUAAGUUGGGAGGAAGGGCAUUAACCUAAUACGUUAGUGUUUUGACGUUACCGACAGAAUAAGCACCGGCUAACUUCGUGCC